AUGGGGAUUGGAGUACCAGCCGUCCGCAAUAGUGGUGGGGUGGGGGGAUCCGGGGCGUCGGCGUCGCCCACAAGCAGCAACGGUGGCAGUAGAGGCGUCCACCACCGCGACCACCACCAGCUGCCGGCGGCUAAGCGGACCAGCCUGGUGGCCGAAGCGGAUCAGCGCGGCGCCGUUAGGCAGCGGAGUCGGGGCCGGCAAGCUGUGUCUUGGGUGGCGAUGGUCCUGCUCGUGGGUGGACGACGAAGUUCCUGCCCGUGGCCGGCGGAGGUCCUGCGCGUGGGCGGCGGAAGUCCUGCUCGUCGGUGGGCUAGUUGGCCGGCUCCUGGGCGGUGUAGGAACUGCUCGUGGGCGGCGCAUGGCCUGCUAGAGGGCGCCGCAUGGCCUGGUCAAGUGCGUGGAGGUGCAGAAGCGGCAGCUCUCCCUCCGGCGGGUGGCGCAGGUGAGUAG
rnacentral:rRNA from 1 species